AGAAUGCACGAGAGCGCAUAUUAUGGGAUGUUAAAAAAAAAGCGAAGGAGAUGCACGUGUGCUGCAGUAGUCAUUUCCGUGUACUGAAACAUUUGUUUGUUAUAAGUAAGAGUCAGUAAUGUCCUGAAUAAAUAAGAAGUGUGCGUUAAUGACCAGAGCCCCCAAGAAUUCCAGGUGGUCCAUAUCAAUGGCUGCAACAUACAUCCCAGUGUGCGGUCCAGCGCUGCAGCGGACACACUCAGGCAGUCUGGCUCCUGCCUCACUAAGCAUUUUGGGAAUGCAAAAAAUUGACGUUUCUUUUUGGACCAAAGUCUUCACAUGCGUCUGACAGCCUUAGAAUAAGCACACUGGACCUAUGAGCGGCUCUCUAAUGACUCGGCGAAGAUUUACAACAUUUAAAUUAGAAAGGUGCGAUUUAUAUGAUUGCAAUAAAUGGAAAUCACGGUCAGUUGGUACAGUUGUUAAGAGCUGUAAAUCAAUUACUAUUAAAAUUGAAGACACGGAGGAAAGGAUCAAAGAAAAGACAGGCGAAGCAUUUGAUAGAUUAAAGCAGGUGGAAGAUAACAAUAAAGAAAUUGAUCAACUUGAAAAAGAUCUGGCAUAAUAGACGCCUCAGUUUAAUGGUAAGUGUAAAAAUGUUUCUGCUAAAGAUCUGAGAUGAGCCUUUGUAAAGCACAGAUAACCAAAUGACUGUGUGCUGCUGGCAUCAGAUUAAUUCCAACACUUCACAGCCAUCCUCUCUCUUUGACAUUUGUGACACGUUUGUCCAGUUUGAACAUGUGCACUUAGGCCC